rnacentral:lncRNA from 1 species
GACCAGGCGGCUGGGCAGCGCCAGUUGAAAGCGGUUGAGCAGGCCGGGCGCAGUGGCUCACGCCUGUAAUCCCAGCACUUUGGGAGACCAAGGCGGGCCGAUCACGGGGUCAGGAGAUCGAGACCAUCCUGGCUAACACGGUGAAACCCCAUCUCUACUAAACAUACAAAAAAAAAAAAGUAGCCGGGCGUGGUGGCGGGCGCCUGUAGUCUCAGCACUUUGGAAGGCUGAGGCGGGCGGAUCACGAGGUCAGGAGAUGGAGAACAUCCUGGCUAACAGGUGAAACCCCGUCUCUACUAAAAGUACAAAAACCAAUUAGCCGGGUGCGGUGGCGGGCGCCUGUAGUCCCAGCUACUCCGGAGGCUGAGGCAGGAGAAUGGCGUGAACCCAGGAGAUGGAGCUUGCAGUGAGCCGAGAUCGCGCCAAUGCACUCUAGCCUGGACGACACAAGGAGACUCCAUCUCAAAACAACAACAACAACAACAACAACAACAACAACAACAACAAAAACAACAAAAACCAGCUGAGCAGCGCGGGCCUUCUGGCAGCGGGUCCAGCUCCAGGGCGCCCUAGGGCAGCGGCGUGCAGUGUUCGGGUAAUAGGACGCAGACGGUGGGGUCGCCGGGGGCUUCGGGGUGGCCUCGGCCCCAGGCCAUCCAGCCCUGUGGACCGAAUGGAGUCCCACACGCUGUUGAGGUAGUUGUGGGUUCCCCUGGCCUCGGGCUCGGCGCAGGGUCAGCGCUCCUGCAGGCGGCGCUUGCGGUACGGGCUGGUGAAAGUGGAGACGGACGGCAGGAUGGAUUCACUUGGCGACAUGGCGGGGAGCUGGGAAGACGGACACCGACCUAAGUCAAUGUUAGUCUACCACUGUACGUCUGGUAACCUCAAUCCCUGCAACCGGAGCAAAAUGUGAUUCCAGGUCUUGGCAACCUCUGAAAUUCCAACUCCAUUUGCGAGAGCUUUGAGGAGGCCAUAUGCUGAUUUCACCACAAGCAACUUCACAACCCAGUACUGGAAUGCCAUCAGCCAGCAGGCCCCUGCCAUUAUCUGUGACUUCUAUCUGUGGCUCAUUGGAAGGAAACCCAGCUACCGAAGGAAGAUACCCUCAUCAACCCAAUUUUACAAAUGGAGAAAUAGAAGCUCAGGGAAGAAUCUGAAGUAGUCUCAAAGGAAGUGACAGGAAGGAUGUGGAGAAAGCUGAGUGUCAAAGUCAGUAUUCAAGACCGGAUUUACUGCUACUUAGAGAUGAAUGAAGAAAUCAGAGGGAACGCAGUGUGCUGAUGCUAAAGCGGCUGUCACCACCCAGCUGUGUGACAUAGGACAUCUUCUUUCUCUGUCUCACUUGACUAAUAUGUUGUGUCAGGGGAGACAUGAUUGUAAUUGCCUAAAGCAAUUCUUGUGAUCAAGAAUCAGAAGCAUGAACAGUAUUGCCCUCUGUGUUAGCCCCUUUAUAAGGGAGGAAGUCAUCUUCAGCAUGCUGAAUUGUCAUCUUUCUUAGCAGUGCAAAUGACUAAAACUUAGCCAAUGUAGAGUUUGUCCAAAUUUGGAGCUCAUAACUCAGUUCUUGAGCAAAGUGAAAAGAAAACAUUGUGAUUAUGGGGAAAAUAUUUGUACGGGACUUAUCAAAUAAAGAUAGGAAAAGAAGAAAACUCAAAUAUUAUAGGCAGAAAUGCUAAAGGUUUUAAAAUAUGUCAGGAUUGGAAGAAGGCAUGGAUAAAGAACAAAGUUCAGUUAGGAAAGAGAAACACAGAAGGAAGAGACACAAUAAAAGUCAUUAUGUAUUCUGUGAGAAGUCAGACAGUAAGAUUUGUGGGAAAUGGGUUGGUUUGUUGUAUGGUAUGUAUUUUAGCAAUAAUCUUUAUGGCAGAGAAAGCUAAAAUCCUUUAGCUUGCGUGAAUGAUCACUUGCUGAAUUCCUCAAGGUAGGCAUGAUGAAGGAGGGUUUAGAGGAGACACAGACACAAUGAACUGACCUAGAUAGAAAGCCUUAGUAUACUCAGCUAGGAAUAGUGAUUCUGAGGGCACACUGUGACAUGAUUAUGUCAUUACAUGUAUGGUAGUGAUGGGGAUGAUAGAAGGAAGAACUUAUGGCAUAUUUUCACCCCCACAAAAAUCAGUUAAAUAUUGGGACACUAACCAUCCAGGUCAAGAAAAGUCACAUGCCAUAGCCAUGGUAUUGCACAUCAUUCAUCUUGCAUUCUUUGAGAAUAAGAAGAUCAGUAAAUAGUUCAGAAGUGGGAAGCUUUGUCCAGGCCUGUGUGUGAACCCAAUGUUUUGUUUAGAAAUAGAACAAGUAAGUUCAUUGCUAUAGCAUAACACAAAAUUUGCAUAAGUGGUGGUCAGCAAAUCCUUGAAUGCUGCUUAAUGUGAGAGGUUGGUAAAAUCCUUUGUGCAACACUCUAACUCCCUGAAUGUUUUGCUGUGCUGGGACCUGUGCAUGCCAGACAAGGCCAAGCUGGCUGAAAGAGCAACCAGCCACCUCUGCAAUCUGCCACCUCCUGCUGGCAGGAUUUGUUUUUGCAUCCUGUGAAGAGCCAAGGAGGCACCAGGGCAUAAGUCUACUCACUUAUAUCUGUUUGUCUGGAACAUAACCCAUGUUUGUUUUUACAACAAAUAAAAUUGAUCUUGAAUAA